rnacentral:rRNA from 1 species
AAUGGGUCAGCGACUUAUAUUCUGUAGCAAGGUUAACCGAAUAGGGGAGCCGAAGGGAAACCGAGUCUUAACUGGGCGUUAAGUUGCAGGGUAUAGACCCGAAACCCGGUGAUCUAGCCAUGGGCAGGUUGAAGGUUGGGUAACACUAACUGGAGGACCGAACCGACUAAUGUUGAAAAAUUAGCGGAUGACUUGUGGCUGGGGGUGAAAGGCCAAUCAAACCGGGAGAUAGCUGGUUCUCCCCGAAAGCUAUUUAGGUAGCGCCUCGUGAAUUCAUCUCCGGGGGUAGAGCACUGUUUCGGCAAGGGGGUCAUCCCGACUUACCAACCCGAUGCAAACUGCGAAUACCGGAGAAUGUUAUCACGGGAGACACACGGCGGGUGCUAACGUCCGUCGUGAAGAGGGAAACAACCCAGACCGCCAGCUAAGGUCCCAAAGUCAUGGUUAAGUGGGAAACGAUGUGGGAAGGCCCAGACAGCCAGGAUGUUGGCUUAGAAGCAGCCAUCAUUUAAAGAAAGCGUAAUAGCUCACUGGUCGAGUCGGCCUGCGCGGAAGAUGUAACGGGGCUAAACCAUGCACCGAAGCUGCGGCAGCGACACUAUGUGUUGUUGGGUAGGGGAGCGUUCUGUAAGCCUGCGAAGGUGGCCUGUGAGGGUUGCUGGAGGUAUCAGAAGUGCGAAU